AUUGGACGCUGGCGGCAGGCUUAACACAUGCAAGUCGAGCGGGGAAGGGUAGCUUGCUACCUAACCUAGCGGCGGACGGGUGAGUAAUGCUUAGGAAUCUGCCAUUUAGUGGGGGACAACAUUCCGAAAGGAAUGCUAAUACCGCAUACGUCCUACGGGAGAAAGCAGGGGAUCUUCGGACCUUGCGCUAAAUGAUGAGCCUAAGUCGGAUUAGCUAGUUGGUGGGGUAAAGGCCUACCAAGGCGACGAUCUGUAGCGGGUCUGAGAGGAUGAUCCGCCACACUGGGACUGAGACACGGCCCAGACUCCUACGGGAGGCAGCAGUGGGGAAUACUGGACAAUGGGCGGAAGCCUGAUCCAGCCAUGCCGCGUGUGUGAAGAAGGCCUUAUGGUUGUAAAGCACUUUAAGCGAGGAGGAGGCUACUUAGAUUAAUACUCUAGGAUAGUGGACGUUACUCGCAGAAUAAGCACCGGCUAACUCUGUGCCAGCAGCCGCCGUAA
rnacentral:rRNA from 1 species